UUAACUCAAAUUUGUAUGGAGUUGGAACGUUUGCCUACGUUUGGCGCUAGGGGCGCUGUUCCAACUGCAUACAAAUUAAACUUU
rnacentral:pre_miRNA from 1 species